rnacentral:rRNA from 1 species
CGGACGGGUGAGUAACGCGUGGAGAACCUGCCGUAUACUGGGGGAUAACACUUAGAAAUAGGUGCUAAUACCGCAUAAGCGCACAGCUUCGCAUGAAGCAGUGUGAAAAACUCCGGUGGUAUACGAUGGAUCCGCGUCUGAUUAGCUGGUUGGCGGGGUAAAGGCCCACCAAGGCGACGAUCAGUAGCCGGCCUGAGAGGGUGAACGGCCGCAUUGGGACUGAGACACGGCCCAAACUCCUACGGAAGGCAGCAG